rnacentral:rRNA from 1 species
UACGUAGGGGGCAAGCGUUGUCCGGAUUCAUUGGGCGUAAAGAGCGUGUAGGCGGCCAGGCAGGUCCGCUGUGAAAACUCGAGGCUCAACCUCGAGAUGUCGGUGGAAACCGUCUGGCUAGAGUCCGGAAGAGGAGACUGGAAUUCCUGGUGUAGCGGUGAAAUGCGCAGAUAUCAGGAGGAACACCGGUGGCGAAGGCGGGUCUCUGGGCCGAUACUGACGCUGAGGAGCGAAAGCGUGGGGAGCGAACAGG